GAAACACAUAGGUGUUUUAUUCACAUUUAAAUGUUUUUCUAUUUUAGCAUACUUUUAACUUACUACAGGUAAUUAAUCAUAAAAUAUAGCUAAGCAGUUUCCAAAAUUUGUAAUUAUCACUAGAGGACAUAUGACUAAUUUGAGAUGACUCACCAGAGAGAUGAAUAAAUUAAGUCUGUCAUAAUGUUAUAUAUCUAUUAAAAUGUUUUUAAAAAUUCACUGCAUACACAUUUUAACUAAUUUUCAAUUAUUAAUAAUAGCCAUUAAAAUGUUAAAAAGUUUAUAAAUAUCUAAGGGACCUCAUUUAAGUUAUAAAUUAAUUGUGAAAGAUUGUCUUAAAAAAAUGAAUGUAAUGAAAGUAGCCUCUGAAUUGUAAUACUUAAAAUAAGACAUUGGAAUAGCCAAUUAUUUUUAUAUCUAUUUGCAAAUUAAAAGUUAUAAUGCAAAAACAAAUCUGGGUUGGGUACAGUGGCUCACGCCUGUAAUUCUAGCACUUUGGGAGGCUGAGAAUGGUUUUUUUUAAUUAAUAUUUUUUCUGUAAUGAGAACAUUCUAUGUGUUUCAACAUUGGUGAAAUAGUCCAGUGUGAUUAAGGAUACAACUAUUGUCUAUGAUUGAUUUUGUAUGUAGGGUUUCAAAAUGGAAUUCAGAAAACACAGUCAUUUUAUAAACAUUUACCUAGCAUCUAACAUGUGCACUGUAUAGCGCUCUGUACCACAAGAACUAAAAAUAAAUACAAGGUUUUAUCUUUAUAUAAAAUGUAUUCAGCACAUGUAUAAAUGAAACAGCUAGAAGUUCUAUACAAACGAUAAAAUAAGUAGAUUCAUAAUGUAUUAUUAGAAUAAAAUUGUGAAU
rnacentral:lncRNA from 1 species